UGGAGAGUUUGAUCCUGGCUCAGAUUGAACGCUGGCGGCAGGCCUAACACACGCAAGUCGAGCGGUAGAGAGAAGCUUGCUUCUCUUGAGAGCGGCGGACGGGUGAGUAAUGCCUAGGAAUCUGCCUGGUAGUGGGGGAUAACGUUCGGAAACGGACGCUAAUACCGCAUACGUCCUACGGGAGAAAGCAGGGGACCUUCGGGCCUUGCGCUAUCAGAUGAGCCUAGGUCGGAUUAGCUAGUUGGUGGGGUAAUGGCUCACCAAGGCGACGAUCCGUAACUGGUCUGAGAGGAUGAUCAGUCACACUGGAACUGAGACACGGUCCAGACUCCUACGGGAGGCAGCAGUGGGGAAUAUUGGACAAUGGGCGAAAGCCUGAUCCAGCCAUGCCGCGUGUGUGAAGAAGGUCUUCGGAUUGUAAAGCACUUUAAGUUGGGAGGAAGGGUUGUAGAUUAAUACUCUGCAAUUUUGACGGUUACCCGAACAGAAUAAGCACCGACUAACUCUGUGCCAGCAGCCGCGGUA
rnacentral:rRNA from 1 species